UGGAGAAGUCAGUGAUGGUUUUAUUCAUGUUGUCUGAACCUGUCUGAAACAUCGGUGAUGCGAUCUCUGGGUGAUUCUGAGACUUCUCUAAGU
ensembl:snoRNA